rnacentral:rRNA from 1 species
UACGGGGGGGGCAAGCGUUGUUCGGAAUUACUGGGCGUAAAGGGCUCGUAGGCGGCCAACUAAGUCGGACGUGAAAUCCCCAGGCUCAACCUGGGAACUGCGUCUGAUACUGGAUGGCUUGAAUCCGGGAGAGGGAUGCAGAAUUCCAGGUGUAGCGGUGAAAUGCGUAGAUAUCUGGAGGAAUACCGGUGGCGAAGGCGGCUCUCUGGGACGGUACUGACGCUGAGACGCGAAAGCGUGGGGAGCGAACAGG